UGGGGAAUAUUGCACAAUGGGGGGAACCCUGAUGCAGCAACGCCGCGUGAGCGAUGAAGGUCUUCGGAUUGUAAAGCUCUGUCUUCGCUGACGAUAAUGACGGUAAGCGAGGAGGAAGCCACGGCUAACUACGUGCCAGCAGCCGCGGUAAUACGUAGGUGGCGAGCGUUGUCCGGAAUUACUGGGCGUAAAGGGUGCGUAGGCGGUUUUUUAAGUGGGAUGUGAAAUCCUGAGGCUUAACUUCAGAAUUGCAUUCCAAACUGGAAGGCUAGAGUACAGGAGAGGAAAGCGGAAUUCCCAGUGUAGCGGUGAAAUGCGUAGAGAUUGGGAGGAACACCAGUGGCGAAGGCGGCUUUCUGGACUGUAACUGACGCUGAGGCACGAAAGCGUGGGGAGCAAACAGG
rnacentral:rRNA from 1 species